GAGCAUAAUAAGAAUAUAAAAACAAAAAAAUCCAAAUUUUAGCAAAAAUAAAAAUAUACAUUACCGGCCGUGUAAUCAUCUUCGAGGUCAAUUUCUUGGCGAAGCACGGCCUCCUCAUUCCGGAGCUCAGUUGGAAUGGGUUUUCCCUCUACAAC